rnacentral:rRNA from 1 species
UACAGAGGUGGCAAGCGUUGCUCGGUAUCACUGGGCUUAAAGGGCGCGUAGGCGGUGUGGUACGGUUUCGGUGAAAUCCCUCGGCCCAACCGAGGAACAGCCGAGGCUACGGCCACACUAGACGGCAUCAGGGGACAGUGGAACUCCCGGUGGAGCGGUGAAAUGCGUAGAGAUCAGGAAGAACACCGGUGGCGAAAGCGCUCUGCUAGGCCGCAACUGACACUGAGGGACGAAAGCUAGGGGAGCGAAUGGG